rnacentral:rRNA from 1 species
UGGGGGAUAUUGCACAAUGGAGGGAACUCUGAUGCAGCAACGCCGCGUGCGGGAUGACGGCCUUCGGGUUGUAAACCGCUUUCAGCCAUGACGAAGCUUUUGUGACGGUAGUGGUAGAAGAAGCACCGGCUAACUACGUGCCAGCAGCCGCGGUGAUACGUAGGGUGCGAGCGUUGUCCGGAAUUAUUGGGCGUAAAGAGCUUGUAGGCGGUUUGUCGCGUCGAUAGUGUAAACACGCAGCUUAACUGUGUGCCUGCUGUCGAUACGGGCUGACUAGAGGAGGGUAGGGGAGAAUGGAAUUCGCGGUGGAGCGGUGGAAUGCGCAGAUAUCGGGAGGAACACCAGUGGCGAAGGCGGUUCUCUGGACCUUUCCUGACGCUGAGAAGCGAAAGCGUGGGUAGCAAACAGG